GACGAACGCUGGCGGCGUGCUUAACACAUGCAAGUCGAACGAAGUGGCGAACGGGUGAGUAACGCGUAAUCAACCUGCUCUUCAGAGGGGGACAACCGUUGGAAACGACUGCUUAUACCGCAUACAGAAGGAGGGGAUUGCGUCUGAUUAGCUAGUUGGAGGGGUAACGGCCCACAAAGGCGAUGAUCAGUAGCCGGUCUGGGAGGAUGAACGGCCACAUUGGGACUGGGACACGGCCCAGACUCCUACGUGAGGCAGCAGUGGUGAAUGUUCCGGAAUGGACGAAAGUCUGACGGGGCAACGCCGGGUGAGGGAUGACGGCCUUCGGGUUGUAAAGCUCUGUUAAUCGGGACGCGGUACCGGAAUAGAAAGCCACGGCUAACUACGUGCCAGCAGCCGCGGUAAUUC
rnacentral:rRNA from 1 species